UAACAGAUCCAGCUUGCUGGAUGCUGACGAGCGGCGGACGGGUGAGUAACGCAUAGGAAUUUACCCGGUAGUGGGGGAUAACCUGGGGAAACUCAGGCUAAUACCGCAUACGUCCUACGGGAGAAAGGGGGCUUUGGCUCCCGCUAUCGGAUGAGCCUAUGCCGGAUUAGCUGGUUGGUGAGGUAAUGGCUCACCAAGGCGACGAUCCGUAGCUGGUCUGAGAGGAUGAUCAGCCACAUCGGGACUGAGACACGGCCCGAACUCCUACGGGAGGCAGCAGUGGGGAAUAUUGGACAAUGGGGGCAACCCUGAUCCAGCCAUGCCGCGUGUGUGAAGAAGGCCCUCGGGUUGUAAAGCACUUUCAGCGAGGAAGAACGCCUGGUGGUUAAUACCCGCCAGGAAAGACAUCACUCGCAGAAGAAGCACCGGCUAACUCCGUGCCAGCAGCCGCGGUAAUACGGAGGGUGCAAGCGUUAAUCGGAAUUACUGGGCGUAAAGCGCGCGUAGGUGGCUUGAUAAGCCGGUUGUGAAAGCCCCGGGCUCAACCUGGGAACGGCAUCCGGAACUAUGAGGCUAGAGUGCAGGAGAGGAAGGUAGAAUUCCCGGUGUAGCGGUGAAAUGCGUAGAGAUCGGGAGGAAUACCAGUGGCGAAGGCGGCCUUCUGGACUGACACUGACACUGAGGUGCGAAAGCGUGGGUAGCAAACAGGAUUAGAUACCCUGGUAGUCCACGCCGUAAACGAUGUCGACCAGCCGUUGGGUGCCUAGCGCACUUUGUGGCGAAGUUAACGCGAUAAGUCG
rnacentral:rRNA from 1 species